rnacentral:misc_RNA from 1 species
AUGUGAUUACAGAGGAAAGCUCGGUAUGGGUGUGCCCUUUGAACGAAGAACGCGGAUUCGUUGCUUACAUUUUUAGUUAGGAAAGUGAGGGCAAUAAUCCGCGAUGCCGAUUGGUUAUGACCAAUGUUGGGAAGGAAGAUAGGAGGAAGAAGCCUCCUACCAACGUGGGUCCUAGGCGACAUUGUUUAUGGGAAAACUCGGGUUUUCCGUUAGGUAGAUCUCCGAUUUUUACGUUAGGCCACUACCCGCUUUCU